UCGAGAAUCAUUGUCAAUGGACGCAAGUCUGAACGUGCGACGCCGCGUGUGGGAUGAAGGCCCUUGGGUUGUAAACCACUGUCAGGGGGAAGGAAUAAGCGUGUAACCCACGCGAUGACUUAUACCCCAGAGGAAGUGACGGCUAACUACGUGCCAGCAGCUGCGGUAAUACGUAGGUCACGAACGUUAUUCGGAAUCACUGGGCUUAAAGGGCGCGUAGGCGGUUUGAUAAGUUACGGUUGAAAUCCGGCGGCUCACCCGGUCGAACUGGCCGUGAUACUGUCGAACUGGAGGUGCGGAGGGAUGCGUGGAACUUGUGGUGGAGCGGUGAAAUGCCCAGAUAUCACAGGGAACACCGGUGGCGAAGGCGACGCAUUGGCCGCAAUCUGACGCUGAGGCGCG
rnacentral:rRNA from 1 species